GAUGAACGCUAGCGGCAGGCUUAACACAUGCAAGUCGAGGGGUAUAGUUCUUCGGAGCUAGAGACCGGCGCACGGGUGCGUAACGCGUAUGCAAUCUACCUUUUGCAGAGGGAUAGCCCAGAGAAAUUUGGAUUAAUACCUCAUGGUAUGUGAGAAUGGCAUCAUUUUCACAUUAAAGUCACAACGGCAAAAGAUGAGCAUGCGUCCCAUUAGCUAGUUGGUAAGGUAACAGCUUACCAAGGCAACGAUGGGUAGGGGUCCUGAGAGGGAGAUCCCCCACACUGGUACUGAGACACGGACCAGACUCCUACGGGAGGCAGCAGUGAGGAAUAUUGGACAAUGGGCGCAAGCCUGAUCCAGCCAUGCCGCGUGCAGGAUGACGGUCCUAUGGAUUGUAAACUGCUUUUGUACAGGAAGAAACACUGGUUCGUGAACCAGCUUGACGGUACUGUAAGAAUAAGGAUCGGCUAACUCUGUGCCAGCAGCCGCCGUAAAAC
rnacentral:rRNA from 1 species